rnacentral:rRNA from 1 species
UACGAAGGGGGCUAGCGUUGCUCGGAAUCACUGGGCGUAAAGCGCACGUAGGCGGCUUUCUAAGUCAGGGGUGAAAUCCUGGAGCUCAACUCCAGAACUGCCUUUGAUACUGGAGAGCUCGAGUCCGGAAGAGGUGAGUGGAACUGCGAGUGUAGAGGUGAAAUUCGUAGAUAUUCGCAAGAACACCAGUGGCGAAGGCGGCUCACUGGCCCGGUACUGACGCUGAGGUGCGAAAGCGUGGGGAGCAAACGGG